CAUUGGAUGAGGAAAGUCAUUAGGCCAUUAGGUAUGCUAGCCGCUCCACCCGCCGAUCUCCGCAAGGGAUGUGAGGACUCUAAAACUUCACCAGGGCCUCCGUCGGCAUAUGGUGAUGGUGGGAUGAGCUGCUGGACUUUCAUAAGACACCAGGAUCCAGAAGCAAUACCACAUGAUCCCAAAACUUCCUGGGAGGGAGGAAGGCAGGCAGGCAGGGAAAAGAGAAGGAGUAAUAUAAACCCUCCUGGGAUUUGGGUUACGAUGUAUCCCCAGAAGAAGGACCCGUGGAUCAUUCCCACUGUUUCUGGAUCCCAGUCAAACUGAGCUUUCUGAUGGGACACAGGGAGACAAACAGUUAUAAGUCUG